UGUAGCUCAGUGGUAGAGUACUUGGCUAGCAUGCAUGAGUCCCUGGGUUCAAUUCCCAGCA
rnacentral:tRNA from 1 species